AUAGUGGCGAAUCGGCCAACGGAAAAUAAAAGCUCGAUGAAGCGAAGGCACGGAAAUGCUGGCGCUGGUUGCAGCGUCCCGGUGGUUGCAGAUCUGCGGAGGCGGUCUACUUUCCUCAAAAUGCAUUCCCGCAGGAGGAGCCAGGGUUACGUAAUAAUAACGAGAAAGCUCACCCGCAGUCACUGCGUGCCACCAACACGGGGCACCCUCGUACCCGAAGUGUCUAAUUUUUGAUCUCUGGGUGGCCACCUGACCGACCACCCUUCCGCCUCCGCAGACCUGGGAACUUCUUGCCUCCUGCAACUUGAGUUGGAAGUUAGGUAGUUUUCGAUAGUGAAAGGUUUUGGUGUUUCUUAAAAUUCUUAGAAACGCGUCUUGCUUCUGCGCAGCCACUCAGAGGCUCGAGGCGCGCUCCAGGUCCGAUCCACCUGUAACCCUCGCCAUGGCUAAGGAAGGCACCGCUGCUGGAGUUGUCAUGGACGUCAAUGCCGCUUUGCAAGAGGUGCUGAAGACCGCCCUGGUCCACGAUGGCCUAGCGCGAGGAAUUCACGAAGCUGCCAAAGCCCUAGGCAAGCGCCAAGCCCAUCUCUGUGUGCUUGCAUCCAAUUGUGAUAAGCCUAUGUACAUCAAGUUGGUGGAAACCCUCUGUGCUGAGCACCAAAUCAACCUAAUUAAGGUUGAUGACAACAAGAAACUGGGGGAAUGGGUAGGCCUCUGCAAAAUUGAUCGAAAGGGGAAACCUCGGAAAGUGAUAGGUUGCAGCUGUGUGGUGGUUAAGGACUUUGGCCAAGAAUCUCAGGCGAAAGAUGUCAUUGAAGAGUACUUCAAAUGCAGGAAAUGAACAACAAAAUUGGCUUAUUUUCUGUUAAGUUUCUCAAAACAGAAAAGUACAUCUCAAGCUCUUGAGUUUUCGCCGGAAAUAAUAAUAGCACUUUUUAGGGAAGUUUUCUUCCAAAUGUAAACAUUGCAUUAUUAUGUUCUUGUUUAUAAUGAAAAUGGUCAUCUUUUUGGAAAUUUACAAACUGCCUAAGAUUUAGUCUAGCAUUAUUAGAGCUUUCCCCAAGACAGGGUUUCUCUGUGUAGCCCUGGCAGCCCUAGCACUCACUUUGUAGACCAGGCUGGCCUCGAACUCAGAAAUCCACCUGCCUCUGCCUCCCAAGGGCUGGGAUUAAAGGCGUGCACCACCACCACCCGGUCUGCAUUAUUAGGGUUUAAUUGACAAAAUAUUAUAUGUAUGUUGCACAGUGUGAGAUAGAUAGAUAGAUAGAUAUACACACAUACAUAUGCAUGAGAGAGAAAUGAUUACCGUGAACAUAGGCAAACCCUCAUAUAUUCCCUUUUCCUGUAGGUUGAGUACACUGAAGAUCUAUUUGGCAAUUAUCAAAUAGGCAGAGUAUUGUUAUUAAAUAUAGUCAUCGUGCUGUGACUGUACAUCUAAGGGACUUGUUCAUCCUGUUGCAAAAGAAUCUGUACCAUUUCACUGAUGUAUCUGCAUCCCUGCUCCAUCCCCUGACAGUCACCAUUGCGCUCUCUGCUUCGGAGUUUUCUCCAUAGACUCCACCUAUGAAUUAAACCUCCCA